GACGAACGCUGGCGGCGUGCUUAACACAUGCGAGUCGAACGGACAGGCCCUGCUUUUGCGGGGUGCUCGAGAGGCGAACGGGUGAGUAAAACGUGAGUAAACUGCCCCUGUCUUUGGGAUAAAUUCAGGAAACAGGGGCUAAUAUCGGAUAGGAGCUACUGCUGCAUGGUGGGGGUUGGAAAGUUUCGGCGGUUGGGGAUGGUAUCGCAGCUUAUCCGCUUGUUGGUGGGGUAGGGGCUGACCAAGCGUUUGACGGGUAGCCGACCUGGGAGGUUGACCGGCCUCAUUGGGACUGAGGUACGGCCCAGAAGGCUACGGGAGGCAGCAGUGGGGAACAUGCCACAAUGGGCGGAAGCGUGAGGCAGCAACGUCGGGUUCGGGAUGACCGCCUUCGGGUUGAAAACCGCUGUCGCCUGAGACGAAGCGGUAGUGACGGUAAUGGGUAAAGAAGCACCGGCUAACUACGUG
rnacentral:rRNA from 1 species